rnacentral:lncRNA from 1 species
AGGCUGUCCUCCUAUUGCUCUUACUUUAUGAUGUGUCUAUCUGCAGCACAUCUAGAACUUGGUCUAGACAGCUUGGCUAAAUUAUAAGUCUUGGAAAUAGGAUCUCAUAAGGAGGUGUACUGGACAAACAUAACUAUUCCUUUGACUAGAAGGAUAUGACAGGUGAUAUCGGACUCCAGGGAAGUCCCAGCUGUGCCAUUGUACCCUUCAUGAGUAAGCAGUGCUGGGGCUGUGCAACUAUCAUCCCUCACCCUUUUGGGCCUGAUGACUGCUGCCCAGGAGCAGAGCAAGCUUCCUCCCCACUGGGAAACGAUCUGCACAGAGUUAGUGAUGGGAUAUUCUGGUCAGAGGAAAUCGCACCACAGGAAAUCUCAUCAGAGUGACCACUAUCAGUCACGGCACAUGCAGUCAGGACUGGAGCCCUUAAUUCUGCACAUUGCCAUUCUCCAGUGAAGGCUGGAUUUGGUCACUGGGUUCAGCGGGAGCCAGACCAAGCCUCAGACCACUGAAGAAGUGAAUGAAAGAGAGUAAUCACAGGAAGACUUUUCAGAUGAGGUUUGAUUGUCUUGCUGAAUCUAGGGAUGUGUAAGGCAUUGUUCUGGGACAGGAUCUGCAAGAGAUCCCUGGCAUGCUGCUAGUUACAUAAAAUUGCUAUUAAUUGUGAAUUAUUCUUAGAAAGGAAGCUGACAUAUUGAAAAAGUGUCAAAUGAUAACGAUAUGGUAGUUGCUCUAUGUAACCUACAUUUGCAGCCUGGAUUGUUAGGCAGUUCUAGUUUUGCUAAAAAUUUCAGGUACACAUUUACUGCAACUUCUAGUGUAGGCAAAAUACCCACCAGUAUUAAACAACUGAAUUUGAACAGGAACUGUAAAUUCAAAAGAAAUGUCUGAUUUGCUUUAUUACUAGGGAUCACACGUGCACUGAGGAAGGUUGGUCCAGUUCAUUACAGCCAGAUGUAAAAACUGCCUCUAGCUAGCUCCAUUCCCUGCAAACUGCCUUCUGUGAGCACCGUUCCUCCUCACUGCCCCGUCCCCUGGGAGGCCUCCCAUCUCUACCUGGCUGGUGGGUGACUGCGCUUCCUCUCACUUUUAUGGGUUUUUACCUCAAAAUGCCCACCCACUCUGUAGCUGAGGUCAGAGUGCCCAUAUCUAUAACUGUAGCAUUAUCUGCCUGGUAUAUGUUCAUAUUGGUGUAGUAUUGUUGCAUUCUGUACAUGACUGUGUACAGAAAGGAGUGCCUGAGUGUUUGUGAAUCUGGAAAGGACCAUUUUUAUAUGCACAUAACUGGUAUGUGGGGCAUGAGUAAGAGUAGAUAUGCAGUUUUAUAGAGUGAGAACAGUAUGCUGGGAAGCUCCACGGUGCCUGUGAUAUUUUAUCUGAGCUGUUUUGGUCUUGGGCUGAGUUUGUCUAU